AGCAGCCGCGGUAAUUCCAGCUCCAAUAGCGUAUAUUAAAGUUGUUGCAGUUAAAAAGCUCGUAGUUGAAUUUCGGGGUUAGUAGGUUGGUCAUGCCUCUGGUAUGUACUGGUCUCACUGAUUCCUCCUUCCUGAUGAGCCGUAAUGCCAUUAAUUUGGUGUUGCGGGGAAUUUGGACCGUUACUUUGAAAAAAUUAGAGUGUUUAAAGCAAGCUAACGCUUGAAUACAUUAGCAUGGAAUAAUGAAAUAGGACGUUCGAUCCUAUUUUGUUGGUUUCUAGGAUUGACGUAAUGAUUAAUAGGGAUAGUUGGGGGCAUUAGUAUUCAAUUGUCAGAGGUGAAAUUCUUGGAUGUUAUUGAAGACUAACUACUGCGAAAGCAUUUGCCAAGGAUGUUUUCAUUAAUCAAGAACGAAAGUUAGGGGAUCGAAGACGAUCAGAUACCGUCGUAGUCUUAACCAUAAACUAUGCCGACUAGGGAUCGGAUGAUGUUAAUUUUUUAAUGACUCA
rnacentral:rRNA from 1 species